rnacentral:rRNA from 1 species
GCGUAGGAAUCUGCCCGGUAGCGGGGAGUAGCCCACGAGAAAUUUAGGUAUUAAUUAACCGCGUACGCCCUAACGGGGAAAGGACAGGGAGUCUUCGGACCUUGCACUAUCGGAUGAGCCUGCGUCGGAUUAGCUAGUUGGUGGGGUAAUGGCCUACCAAGGCGACGAUCCGUAGCUGGUCUGAGAGGAUGAUCAGCCACACCGGAACUGAGACACGGUCCGGACUCCUACGGGAGGCAGCAGUGGGGAAUAUUGCACAAUGGGCGCAAGCCUGAUGCAGCCAUGCCGCGUGUGUGAAGA